CUGGCGGCAUGCCUAAUACAUGCAAGUCGAGCGGAGAUUGUUGGAAAGCUUGCUUUCUAACAAUCUUAGCGGCGGACGGGUGAGUAACACGUAGGCAACCUGCCCUUUAGCCUGGGAUAACUACCGGAAACGGUAGCUAAUACCGGAUAAUUUCUUUUUUCUCUUGAGAGAAGAAUGAAAGGCGGAGCAAUCUGUCGCUAAGGGAUGGGCCUGCGGCGCAUUAGCUAGUUGGUGGGGUAACGGCUCACCAAGGCGACGAUGCGUAGCCGACCUGAGAGGGUGAACGGCCACACUGGGACUGAGACACGGCCCAGACUCCUACGGGAGGCAGCAGUAGGGAAUCUUCCGCAAUGGGCGAAAGCCUGACGGAGCAAUGCCGCGUGAGUGAUGAAGGUUUUCGGAUCGUAAAGCUCUGUUGCCAGGGAAGAACGUCCGGUAGAGUAACUGCUACCGGAGUGACGGUACCUGAGAAGAAAGCCCCGGC
rnacentral:rRNA from 1 species